rnacentral:lncRNA from 1 species
AAAAUAUUUUUCACUUUUCUUAACGUUUUAUUUAAUUUUAUAUAAUUUUUAUUUUAGUAUUUUUUUAAUAUUAAUAUUUUAUUUUAAUUAUUUAUUCUAACUGGUCCAUUUUAACACACUUUUUUUUAUUGAUUUUAUUUUUAUGACUUAAAAUUAUUGUUAGCAUGUGAUUUUUGGGAUGAAGGUUGACCACUGUCUCAUGGUCAACUUGACCUUUUCUUGGAAUUUUAUUUCUCAUUUUCAAUUUAUUUUGGAUUUAUUUUUGACCUAGUUU